rnacentral:rRNA from 1 species
UACAGAGGGUGCGAGCGUUAAUCGGAAUUAUUGGGCGUAAAGCGUGCGUAGACGGUUAUUUAAGUCGGGUGUGAAAGCCCCGGGCUCAACCUGGGAAUUGCAUUCGAGACUGAAUAGCUAGGGUACGGUAGAGGGAAGCGGAAUUUCCGGUGUAGCGGUGAAAUGCGUAGAUAUCGGAAGGAACAUCAGUGGCGAAAGCGGCUUCCUGGACCAGUACCGACGUUCAGGCACGAAAGCGUGGGGAGCAAACAGG